AUUGAACGCUGGCGGCAGGCCUAACACAUGCAAGUCGAGCGCGAAAGUUCUUCGGAAUGAGUAAAGCGGCGGACGGGUGAGUAAUACAUGGGAAUCCGCCUGGUAGUGGGGGACAACGUUUCGAAAGGAACGCUAGUACCGCAUACGCCCUACGGGGAAAGGGGGGAGUCGCAAGACCUCUCGCUAUCAGAUGAGCCCAU
rnacentral:rRNA from 1 species